GACGAACGCUGGCGGCGUGCUUAACACAUGCAAGUCGAACGGUAAGGCCCUUCGGGGUACACGAGUGGCGAACGGGUGAGUAACACGUGGGUGAUCUGCCCUGCACUUCAGGAUAAGCCUGGGAAACUGGGUCUAAUACCGGAUAGGACCACUGCCUGCAUGGGUGGUGGUGGAAAGCUUUUGCGGUGUGGGAUGGGCCCGCGGCCUAUCAGCUUGUUGGUGGGGUGAUGGCCUACCAAGGCGACGACGGGUAGCCGGCCUGAGAGGGUGACCGGCCACACUGGGACUGAGACACGGCCCAGACUCCGACGGGAGGCAGCAGUGGGGAAUAUUGCACAAUGGGCGCAAGCCUGAUGCAGCAACGCCGCGUGAGGGAUGACGGCCUUCGGGUUGUAAACCUCUUUUAGUAGGGAAGAAGCGAAAGUGACGGUACCUGCAGAAAAAGCACCGGCUAACUACGUGCCAGCCGCCGCAGUAA
rnacentral:rRNA from 1 species